rnacentral:rRNA from 1 species
UUAAGUUAUUAAGGGCGCACGGUGGAUGCCUUGGCACUAGAAGCCAAUGAAGGACGUUACUAACGACGAUAUGCUUUGGGGAGCUGUAAGUAAGCUUUGAUCCAGAGAUUUCCGAAUGGGGAAACCCAGCAUGAGUUAUGUCAUGUUAUCGAUAUGUGAAUACAUAGCAUAUCAGAAGGCACACCCGGAGAACUGAAACAUCUUAGUACCCGGAGGAAGAGAAAGAAAAUUCGAUUCCCUUAGUAGCGGCGAGCGAAACGGGAAGAGCCCAAACCAACAAGCUUGCUUGUUGGGGUUGUAGGACACUCUAUACGGAGUUACAAAGGACGACAUUAGACGAAUCAUCUGGAAAGAUGAAUCAAAGAAGGUAAUAAUCCUGUAGUCGAAAAUGUUGUCUCUCUUGAGUGGAUCCUGAGUACGACGGAGCACGUGAAAUUCCGUCGGAAUCUGGGAGGACCAUCUCCUAAGGCUAAAUACUCUCUAGUGACCGAUAGUGAACCAGUAC